AGGGCAGAGGGCAGAGGUCAGAGGCCGCGGGGAGGAACCCCCCUGUUGCUUCCGCCUCCCGGGGCGCAGGCGCUGGGCGCGGCGGGGAAGGGACUCGGCACUGGGGAAACCCGGAGUUUCAGCCAGGGUCCCAGGGCUUCCUUCCCGGGUUCCUGCCGGAAAACUUUUCUCCUCCGCCCGGAAGCCUCGAUGGGGCAGUGAGAUCGCGGGGCGAGGUGGGAGUGUGGGAGGGGGCCGCGGGCAGAGAGCGGGAGUCCGGCUGGGUGGGAGAUCUCCUGAGCCGAAGCUGGGUCUCGCCCCAGCGUGGCGCCACCGACCCGCAGGCUUUUCCUGCUCUGCAGAUGGAGAGACACAGGGACGCUCCUCAGGUGGCUGCCCUGGGCUGCCAGCCUGUCAGUGGGAGGGGAGGGUGCAGACAAGAGGCCCCUGUUUCCGAAACCCCUCUGUCCCCAAAGCUGCGACAGCAGAAGACACUUAGGCGGCCUGAGGGGUUGGUGAACCACAGAGGAGCUCAGCUUCGCCUGGUCUCCAGCUCCCGGUGGCGGUGGCGUGUCCUUAAUGCUGCUGGCUUUGAACUGGACUGAGAACUAUUUACCACACAAACACCACCAUUUCAAUCCCGGAGAAUGCCUGUUUUCCCUAGGGUGACCUGGCCGGGGUAACAAACACUUGUUCUCUAAUUCCACGGUCAGCCUUGACUUAAUUGAGGUACUUGAUUUCCAACUUCCUGUCUUGCUGCCACAGAUAAUCACUGAUGAAACCAAACAGGCAACACCUUUUGGUGGCCUGUGGAGAGCGCUGCCCCGUCUGGGUCUUAGGAAGGCAAUUGAAUAUGAAUGUUCUCCCGAGUGCUUGUGGAAAAGAGAUGGUGUUGGCCACUUUUUAGACGAAGAGAAAUGAGUACUAGUGAACACUAAUCAUAGUGACUAAACAGUAAACGGCUCCCAUUUGUUGUCGGCUAAAGCACUGAUUCUUCAUUUUCCAUCCCAGCCUGUCCUGCUCUGGCCUGCCCUGUGCUCAGGAAGCUGGCGGUCCCCCUCAGUGGAUCUUCACCCACAGGGACAACCUGCUGCAGACCGGGUAGGAGGGAGGCAGGGGCCUCUUCCCCUCUCCUUCCUGGCCUGGCCCCACACCCACCAGUGUUGGUUUCACUCUGUGGCUACGAUUCUUCCUGGGUGCCCUUUCCAUUGCACAACUCCUCUAGGCUCUACGAACAGAACUUCUCCCCGCCCCCAAGCCUCUUAGGGUGAGACAUGUUGUCGGUCUGCCAUUGUUGCUGGUCCCUAAAUAGCAGCACCCUUUGAAGGAUCCUUGAACCAUGACCACACCGCAACAAAGAGUCCUUCAUCAAACUCGCUUCCAAAUCCCCUCCCAAGAACACCUUCAGUUUCCUGCAAGAACCCUGACUGCUGAAGCCGGAUUUUGACUAAGCUUCUACCUUGUAAACCGUGACUGUGGGAUUGGGGUCGAGGCGCAAUCAGAGGUUGUAUAAGGCACUAGAUCAAGGCUGCCUGUCUGUCAGGAGUGUCUGCUUUAUUCAGUAGUAAAUGUGAAUUGUUUUUCAUUCUGUUGUGAAUACUGUUGGUUGACAAUGCAGCAGCCAUGCCCUCUCUAUCCUUGCUGGUUCAGGUAUCCACUCUGUGUGGCUAAGGGUAAACUCUGUCUCUUGAGAAAAUCUUGGUAACUCCAUUUCUCUUUCCAACAAUUGGCUUCAAACAAGCUCAAGUCAAUGAGUCCCAACAGGAAGCCUGCUGGGGGUUGUCUGGCAAAGGUUUUCUCACUCCUACAGGAACAUAAAGAGGAAAUGCUCCUUUUUCCCUGGUGAAUGUUGCAUUCCCUGUCUGGAUGCAAUGCCUGGUGCUCCGCAGCCCUUUGCACUUAUAAGAGAAGGUGGCCGGAAGAGCAUCUUCACCCUGGGGUGGCCGCCUGGGAAGAUGAGAAGAGCAGGAGUCCUUGGUGGCACAACCAGGCAAUUCACCAAAAUCCUGCUGCCCUCACCUGGAAUUUCCUGCUAUGAGAGACGUCUCCGUUUAAACCACAUGAGCUGGAUUUUCUGUUUCUAACACAUGUCAGCAUCUUCACGGUAAAUCUAAGAAAAAAAAAUCAGGGCUAUUAAAAAACAAAGUCCAACUCACCCUGUGCUAUGGUCUGAAGGUGUCCUCCCAAAUUCACACGUGGAAACCUAAUCCCAAAUACCUGAUACCUAAUCCCAAAUAUUAAGAGGUGGGGGCCUUGGGAGGUGGUUAGGAAUGGGAUUAGUGCCCUUUAAAACUGAGGUUUUUGGGAGCCUGCUUGCCCUUUCUGCCAUAUGAAGAUGCUUAGAAGAGGCCUUCUAUGAAGCAGAGAACUUUUCUCAGAUGCCAGAUCUGCUGGGACCUUGAUCUUGGAUUUCUCAGCCUUCAGAACUGUGGGAAGCAAACUUCUGUGUGUAUGAAUAGCCAUCUAAAGGAUUUUGUUACAGCAGCCUGAGCAGACUAAGACACCCUGUGAGUCAGUUAUUUUUGGCUGUGUCACGAGUGACCGCGAGUGCAGGAGCUGAAACGGCAGUGAGUGGGUUACCAUUUCUCAGGACCCUGCGGAAUUGGUGCGAUGGUGCUUCUGCUCCACCUGUUGUUGGCUGGGAUUGUCCUGCAGCUGCAUUCUUCUGGGGGUCAGCUGGGGCUGGAAGCUUCCUGUGGUCUAGUCACACAGCUGGGGUCUCAGCUAGGGUGAUAGAACACUGGGGGCAGGCCGGCCUUGCUGUCUCUCUCUGGCUUCUCAUCAUUCAGUGGUCUAGCCUGAGUUUUUUACAUGGCAGCUCAGGAGGGUCAAUGUGGACGCUAUACAGCCUGUAAGGCCCGGGUUUGGAAGUCCAAGAAUAUGACUUCUACCAUGUUCUACUGGUGAAUAUAAAUUCCAAGGCCAGCCUAGAUUCAAGGGAUAAGAACGUAGAUUUCACUCCUUGAUGGGAGGAUCCCAUGUACAGACAGGGAUCCUUAUGAGGGAUUAUGAGAACUCCUAAUCCUUAUGAGGGAUUAUCAUACAGAGAAUUUAUGGGGGAUUAUCUUUGGAAAUAAUCUACCAUAGACUGAAUAAAUGAUAAUGUAAUGUG
ensembl:lncRNA novel transcript